CUAAUAGAUAAAAAUAAUGAAAAAGGAAAGAAAAAAUUAUUUCUUAAAUAAAAAGCACUUAGUAC
rnacentral:tRNA from 1 species